UGGGGAAUAUUGGGCAAUGGAGGCAACUCUGACCCAGCAACGCCGCGUGAAUGAUGAAGGUCUUCGGAUUGUAAAGUUCUGUGACGGGGGACGAACACAAUGACGGUACCCCGAUAGCAAGCCACGGCUAACUACGUGCCAGCAGCCGCGGUAAUACGUAGGUGGCAAGCGUUAUCCGGAAUGACUGGGCGUAAAGGGUGCGUAGGUGGUUUGGCAAGUUGGCGGCGUAAUUCCGGGGCUCAACUCCGGCGCUACCGCCAAAACUGUCGGACUCGAGUGCAGGAGGGGUAAGUGGAAUUCCUAGUGUAGCGGUGGAAUGCGUAGAUAUUAGGAAGAACAUCGGUGGCGAAGGCGACUUACUGGACUGUAACUGACACUGAGGCACGAAAGCGUGGGGAGCAAACA
rnacentral:rRNA from 1 species